GGAUGUGAGGACGAUUGGGCUGCAACAUCUGUCACCCCAUUGAUUGCCAGGGUUAACUUGGCUGAUCUGGCUGGCUAGGCGGGAGUCCCCUUCCUCCCUUACCAUUCCAUGUGCGUCCCUCCUGAAGCUGUGCGCUCUGUUGAAGAGGACAACCUUCCCCGAUAGAGGAGAGGACUGUUCUUCUGUCAAGGGUAUACCAGUAGCUACGCUCCCCUGCUAAAACAUCCAAACAAGCUCUCAAGGUCCAUUUGUAGAAGAACAUAGGGUAGUCAAGCUUCCAAGACUCCAGAUACAUCCAAAUAAGGUGCUGCACGUGGCAGUCUGCCUUUCUUA
rnacentral:snRNA from 1 species